CCAAACCUGAGACUGGGUGACUCUUGCCUAGGCUCACGGAUCGAGCCUUCCCAGCGUUGCACUGGGACCCUAGGGUAGCCCUGGCGUGCCCAAGAGAUGCGCAAGCAUCUCGCGCCUUCCAAGCAAUCAGCGAGGACAAACGGGGUCCAAAUUCGAGUAGAAUCUGCGGGUUGCGGGAAGAUGGGUUCUAGGGCUGCCCGCGAGUGCGGUGGGGGACAAUACCCUAGGGCCCCGUGCGCCCUCGCUUUCCCGGGGCACUCUCACCAUUUGUAGCCUCUGCCGCGCUUGAACUUGAGGGUGAGCGCAGUCUCCAGGAAGAGCAAGAGGUUGAGCAGCGCGAGCAGCCAAUACCGCGGCUCCUUCUUCACCUCGGUCACUCGCCAGACCCCGACCAGCGAGUGCAGCACGAACAGCAGCCGAGUGGCCAGGGCGUUAAGGAAGACCAGUCCCUCCAUGCUGGCCCGAGCACUCUGCCUACGGCCCCUUGCCUGCGCCCCCAGGACCCUGCCGGGCGUGCCCGGAGCCCACCCGUGAGCAGGAAUAUGACAAGCACUGAGACCUGCUGCUGCUUAUGGUCCCUUCUCACCCUCAGCGCCCGAUGCCGGUAGAACUGGUGCGCGGCUCGCCCCUCCCCCAAACUUCCUGAGAACUCUUCAAAGAGGGUUGUGAUUUGAAGAGUAACCUUCUUCAGAAAACUGUGGAGACUUCACAGAAAUGGCUGAAGCUAUUUGAAGUCUACAAAUUACCUAAUGGAACAGGUGUUAUUCCCAUGAGAUUCCCAGAUAAACUUCCUGCAUGCAAAUCUCCAUCUCAGCAUCUGUUUCCCUGAGGAGGAACCAACCUAAGAUGAAAUGCAAAUUAAAAUCUCAGUGGGU
rnacentral:antisense_RNA from 1 species